UACGAAGGGGGCUAGCGUUGCUCGGAAUCACUGGGCGUAAAGCGCACGUAGGCGGGUCUUUAAGUCAGGGGUGAAAUCCUGGAGCUCAACUCCAGAACUGCCUUUGAUACUGAGGAUCUCGAGUCCGGGAGAGGUGAGUGGAACUCCGAGUGUAGAGGUGAAAUUCGUAGAUAUUCGGAAGAACACCAGUGGCGAAGGCGGUUCACUGGCCCGGUACUGACGCUGAGGUGCGAAAGCGUGGGGAGCAAACAGG
rnacentral:rRNA from 1 species